CAGUCGCCGCGGGAAUACGAAGGGUGCAAGCGUUACUCGGAAUUACUGGGCGUAAAGCGUGCGUAGGUGGUGGUUUAAGUCCGUUGUGAAAGCCCUGGGCUCAACCUGGGAAUUGCAGUGGAUACUGGGUCACUAGAGUGUGGUAGAGGAUAGUGGAAUUUCCGGUGUAGCAGUGAAAUGCGUAGAGAUCGGAAGGAACAUCUGUGGCGAAGGCGACUAUCUGGGCCAACACUGACACUGAGGCACGAAAGCGUGGGGAGCAAACAGGAUUAGAGACCCCAGUAGUCCUGUCUCUUAUACC
rnacentral:rRNA from 1 species